rnacentral:rRNA from 1 species
UAUGGCCAUAUCACGUUGAAAUACCAGUUCUCGUACGAUCACCGUAGUUAAGCAACGUCGAGUAGGGUCAGUACCUAGAUAGGUGACCGCUUGGGGAUACCAGGUGCUGUAA